CGCGUCUGGCUUUCGGAGGCGGGGCUCCGGAGCCGGGGGAAGCGAGGACCUCCGCGGGUGGGCGUGCAGCCGCUCCGCCUCGCGGUUCACAUCAGCAGCAUUGCUGUUUACCAGAGUGCUUUCCUUACAUCACCCAGGAAGGCCAUUCCCACUUUCCAGGAACUAAAACCGCGGCUUCCGUGACUUGCCGAGGCCCGAGGGUCACCGCUGAGCACUUCCCGGCGGGCCCAUCCCCGCCACGGGGGCGGGGUCCGCUCCAAGGCGAGCGGGUUGGACCACCCACCCAUGCCUUCUCAAGAGAACCUCAUGGCCCUUAAAAGGGAAUUUGUCUAACAGUGGAUUUCACUAAGCCUGGAGCAUGCUCAGCCCAGAUCCACCUGAUGUUCACCUGCUAAAAACCUGCAACAGCUAAACCACGUUUUUAAAUCAUCAAAAUAACGCCUGUUUGACUGGAUGCAAACUAUUAGCUGAGAAGCAGAAGACCGGAAGAUGAUCAGAAAACAGAAUGUCCAUGGCAGGUACCUCCACACAGGAAACCAAACAAACUUAUUGAGGCAAGAGACUCUCAAUCUGAGCACAGAAAACCCUAUGACAACUGGCUCACUGGUCAAGAAAAUAGAGACAGGGUUCACUCUACAUUUUUGACAAGUAAGUUCUAUAACAAAGGUUUUAUAUAGAUAGAGCUUUACAUUUAGAGAAAAUAAAAAAUUAUCUGACAUAAUGUAUUUAGAAAUUCCUAUUUGACAAUAAAGCUACUUGGUAAGGAUGCUGCCAUUUAGGUAAAGAGUUAAUUUGUAGCAUUUGUAUACAUAGAUAUUCUUUAAUUUCAUAUGCUUCAUUAGUCACACUUUAUAACUUAAAUUCUUAGUUUUGUGGUAAAGAAUGCAGCUCUGCUCACUUCCAGGUAGAGACAAACUUUAAAGACUACAGACUGCUUUAGAGAAAGUUCAGUUCUUACAAAGUAGCUUUAAAAUAGAGUAUUGCAAAAAAAAA